rnacentral:rRNA from 1 species
UACGUAGGUGGCAAGCGUUGUCCGGAAUUAUUGGGCGUAAAGCGCGCGCAGGCGGUCCUUUAAGUCUGAUGUGAAAGCCCACGGCUCAACCGUGGAGGGUCAUUGGAAACUGGGGGACUUGAGUGCAGGAAGAGGAAAGCGGAAUUCCACGUGUAGCGGUGAAAUGCGUAGAGAUGUGGAGGAACACCAGUGGCGAAGGCGGCUUCUGGUCUGUAACUGACGCUGAGGCGCGAAAGCGUGGGGAGCAAACAGG